AUUGAACGCUGGCGGCAUGCCUUAUACAUGCAAGUCGAACGGUAACAGAUCUUCGGAUGCUGACGAGUGGCGAACGGGUGAGUAAUACAUCGGAACGUGCCUAGUAGUGGGGGAUAACUACUCGAAAGAGUGGCUAAUACCGCAUGAGAUCUACGGAUGAAAGCAGGGGAUCGCAAGACCUUGUGCUACUAGAGCGGCCGAUGGCAGAUUAGGUAGUUGGUGGGAUAAAAGCUUACCAAGCCGACGAUCUGUAGCUGGUCUGAGAGGACGAUCAGCCACAGUGGGACUGAGACACGGCCCAGACUCCUACGGGAGGCAGCAGUGGGGAAUUUUGGACAAUGGGCGCAAGCCUGAUCCAGCAAUGCCGCGUGCAGGAUGAAGGCCUUCGGGUUGUAAACUGCUUUUGUACGGAACGAAAAGCCCUGGGUUAAUACCCUGGGGUCAUGACGGUACCGUAAGAAUAAGCACCGGCUAACUACGUGCCAGCAGCCGCGGUAACAC
rnacentral:rRNA from 1 species